UCGUGUCGUGAGAUGUUGGGUUAAGUCCCGCAACGAGCGCAACCCUCACCCCUAGUUGCCACCGGGUAAAGCCGAGCACUCGAGGGGAACUGCCAGCGUCAAGCUGGAGGAAGGCGGGGAUGACGUCAAGUCAUCAUGCCCCUUACGUCCUGGGCUACACACGUGCUACAAUGGCCAGUACAAAGGGAUGCGAGACCGCGAGGUGGAGCUAAUCCCAAAAAGCUGGUCUAAGUUCAGAUUGCAGUCUGCAACUCGACUGCAUGAAGGAGGAAUCGCUAGUAAUCGC
rnacentral:rRNA from 1 species